GGUGCUGCUGCCGCCGCGGCUGCUGCGUCGUGGCAGCGUGCCGGGCGCGAUUCCCGGUGGUGGGCGAGGGCCAGGGCCGCCGGUGAGGCGAACGAGCCCUUUCGGUGGGUGUGCGGGUGCGUCCUGCUCGCUGGCCGCCUGGGGGUGUUGGGACUGCAGGCUCCCGGUCUGCUGGAGGCAGUCCCGGUCCCUCUCUUUCCCAUGCUACUGUCAUUGUUUUGCUUCCCUGUCCCUCUCCUCUCUAUUCUUCUGUCCUGCUCCUUCUUCCUUCCUCUUGUUCUACCGCUCCCAUUUCAUCUUCUCUCUGCCCUUUUGUCCCGCUCCCUCUCCCUCCUUUUUUCAUCCUCCAUCUCUGUCCUGCAGCCCAUUGCUUUUUUUUUCUUUUCCAUCUCUCUGUCCUGAUCUGCAUCUGUAUUUUUUUUUCCCCCAAUUUCUCUGGCUUGUUUCCUGGUGUUCUUUUCCUCUCUGCACCUUUAUCUGCCCCUCCAUGUCCCUGCCUUCCUAUCUUUCUCCCUCCUUUUCUUUCUCUCUCUUUCCCUUUGUCUUGCUCACGGUCACUGUUUUUUUUCAUUAUAAAUCUCACUGUCUUUAUCCUCCUUCCUGUUCAUCUCUUACUCUUUCUGACCCUUUGUGCUGGUCCCUGGUCCUGUUAUUUAUUGCUUCACCUCUCUGUCCUGCUCCCUGUUCCUGUUUUUUCUCUUGCUCCAUGUCUCUGUCAUUCUCUCUGUUGCUCUUGUUGGCUCUUUAUCCCAGUGUUCUGCUCCCCAUCUCUUGUCUCUUUUGCAGCAUCCUGCUUUCUGGCUCCCAGUCCCUCACCUGUUUUCUAUAUCCCUCUGUCCUUCUUCCUGUCUUCCCUUGUCCCUCUGGCCUGCUACCCAUCACUAUCUAUUUUUUCUUUCUCCAUCUUUCUGCCUCAGUCCUGUCAGUCUCCUCCUCUCUGUCUUUAACGUUUCUUUCUCCAUCUCUGCCCCGCUCCCUGUCCCUUUUCUCUUAUUCUCUCUGUCCUCUCUCCUCCUCCUAACUUUUUGUCUAUAUAUCUCCAUACACUGCCUAUCGCAUCAUUUCUCACUGUGUCCCCCUGCCCAGCUCACUGUCCUGUUAUUCCCCUUUGUCCUGUUCCCCGGCCUUUUUUCUCAUCCUGUGGUCCAUCAGACCAUCUUCAGUAAUGGGAUGGUCUACAUGGUACCAGGUUUGCUGGCAUUGGAUGGGAUUGACCUUUCUCAAAGGGGGAAGAGGGUCUUUGCUCAUGAGCUAGCAGGGCUCAUUGACAGAGCUUUAAACUAGACUUGAAGGGCUGUGAGAGACUGAACCGUGAACUAUUUGUCUCGAGCCUAUAAAAGACCGUGGAGACAAGACACGGUGUGCACCCACCACCAAAGAACUGAAGAUUGAGGACCAACGGGACGCCACUGGAUCCAUGGUGGUGAAGACUCUGGAGCCUGCCUGAAGGAACACAUGAACCUGCUGAUUGUCUGCGUGGUUUUGUUGGUGAUUGCUUUGUUAAUAUUUAUAGGAUGUUUGGCAUACCACCGCAGACAUUGUUUUGGUCGACCAUUGUCGCCGCCUUUAAUAUGUGGGGAAACUCCUGUGCCCCCCUCAUCGGCUCGUUGUGGCAAAAUGAAUUUAUUGUUUUAGGCCAGCAAGUGGCCAACACUUUUAACCUGACUAAUUGUUGGGUAUGUGGUGGACCCUUGGGUUUGGAAAGCUGGCCAUGGACUGCUGUCCCUAUUUCACCGAAAUGGUUAGUGAGUAAUUACAGUGAGGUCAAAAAUUAUUCUUACUGGGGUGAAGACACGCAGCCCUGGGCAAUAAGAUACCCAGCCCAAGGUGAAUAUUGCCUGAACCGAACACAGAAAGAUGGUGUCGCUGUGGGAAACAGCAAAUGUAACUGGACCUAUACUUAUGGCAACCAUUGCUUCACUGACGGUUGUACACUGAUUAAUUGUUCAGGAAACACAAACUCGGACCCUAUUUCACACAAUGCAGGCUACCAGACGUAUUGUAGCCUCUUUAGUUCCCAUUCCUUGAAUUUUGUACCUCGCUGGCCCGGGUGGGCUUGGGUGAAUCAAACAGGGCACAGGAAACAGUUUUCCAAUUUUUGGUCUUCCACUAAUCAGUCUAAUAACCGUCUUAAUGUUACCUGCUUUUGGCACUGUGGUUCCGGUGCCUGGAAAUGCAAAUUCACUGAUAAGACAUAUUCCUGGCUCCCUGACGGGACUCAGAUUUGGUGGUCAAGUGGUAAUAAAAUACUGUCAGGGACAUUCGAACAUAGGUCCGGAUGGAUUUCCUAUCUGUUGGGGCACCACAGAGGAGGUAGGAAAAGCCAUGGACAGGUUGUUGAUGAAUGGUCUAUCAAAUCAUCCUCUAGGAGUAGAUAAUACAACAUAUUUCCAAUCACCAUGGACACCCACUGGUUGGUUUGAAAAUGGUACCCGAGCCUUAAAGGGCCGCUAUUGGGUGUGUGGCCAACAUGCCUACAAACUGUUACCAGCAAAUUGGACUGGAGUGUGUUAUGUGGGAGUAAUUCACCCCUUGUUUUUUUCUGCUCCCAGAGAAUGAAGGUGAUGGACUGGGUGUUAAGGUAUAUGAUGAUCUUAAUCGAUAUCGGCAGUCCAUUGAUACCUCUGUGGCAGGUGGAAGUGGUCAAACCUGGGGCAAAGAUGAGUGGACCCCUCAACGUAUCGUACAACAUUAUGGACCUGCCACCUGGAACCCCAACGAGAGGGUUAGCGGUGCUCGAGAACCUAUUUACAAUCUAAAUCGCAUCAUUCAGCUGCAAGACGUGUUGGAGAUUAUUACCAACCAAACAGCCAACGCCCUUGAUCAAUUGGCAGAUCAGGCUACCCAAAUGUGAACAGCGAUAUUCCAACAUCGCGUGGUUCUCAAUUACCUGCUAGCCGAAGAAGGAGGUGUUUGCGGUAAACUAAAUGAUUCUAACUGUUGCUUAAAAAUUGAUGACAGUGGUAAAAUUGUUAAACAAAUUACCACAGGAAUACGGAAGCUAGCCCACGUUCCUGUCCAGACAUGGAAAGGCUGGGACAUUGACUUAUUUUCCUGGCUCCCAGGUGACCCAUGGGUAAAGCGAAUCCUAUUUUACUUGUUAUGUGAUUUUGCUGUGGUGGUGUUUUUGCCAUGUAUCAUUCCAUGUUUUAUACAAUUGAUUCAACGUAUUGUAACUAAUAUGCAAUUUGUAACUACUGUUUCACCUGACGGUAUUAAACAAAUUCAUGCUGUGCGUCGAACCACGCCGUCGGUAGUAUGGAUUGUAUGAAAUGCUCUUUUCUGGCCUUUUCUACGUAACUAUCUUUUCUCAAAACCGCCAUGGGUCCUGAAGCAAUUUUUGAGUCAUGGGGUGGUGUAAGAGACUGAACUGUGAACUAUUUGUCGCGAGCUUAUAAAAGACAGUGGAGACAAGCCAUGGCGUGCACCUACCACCAAAGAACUGAAGAUUGAGGACCAAUGGGAUGCCGCUGGAUCCGUGGUGGUGACUAUUCUUGCAACCCUAUCCUGAGUGCUUGCUUGAUUUCUGCCUUUUUCUUCCAUUCUAUCCUAUCGGUAUUAUUUUCUACUUUUGAUAAUAAAAGCUGUUUUGUUUAUAUGGCA